rnacentral:piRNA from 1 species
UGAAUUUCUGAUACCCCUGCCUCCGUU